UGAAAAAAUUAUGUGAAACUUUGUGCAGACU
rnacentral:piRNA from 1 species